UAAAAAAUGAUUUAUGUAGUUCAAGUGUUAGGCAGUGUUGGGUAGCCAACAUGCCAGCGAAGAAUCAGCGGUUGAGAAUUGUUGCGCUUUGGGUGCAGUUAUGCCAACACUGGUUCACGUUCGCUUUCUCUCUGGUGGAAAAGGGAAUAUGUGAUUUUUUAAUACAAAUUUUGUACUAAAUUGUUUUUAACAGGAAAUUAAAAAAAAAAAUUGGUAAAAAAAACAGUUAAAAUUUCAUUAGGCGGUGUGCGACUUUGCUAAAAAGUGCCUAUAUGUAGGCAAUGAUUUUGUUUGAACACAAAAGGAAGGAGAGAGAGAUAGCAAUAGUUCAGUGCACUCUCAUUAUUUUAUAUGAUUGUAGACUAAGUUUACAUACUGAGAGCUCAAGAUCUGUACUGUAGGUCUCAGCAAGCCUCUGAAGAUCUAACGAAGGAUAUUUUAGGUUAUUUUACUCUCUACAUCGGGUAAUAAAUAAAAUGAAGUUUUCCUGAUAUUAGUCUGCAAGUUCUGCAAUCUCUUUACAAGCUGGAAUUCAAGUUCGUGAUUCUCUUUGGAGGUUAUUCAUCCGAAGUGAGUGCUUCAUAGCACCUUGAGUGUUGAAAUCCGAAAGUUUUUUUUUUAAUGCAAGCUCGAUGGCAGUUUAUGGUCAUACAGUGUGAUGAAUCCGUUACUUUUGAUGCGAUCUGCAGACCAGAGUUUCCAUAUUGAGAUACUAGAUUACUCCUCGAUUGCUUUACUAGUAAUAUUCGCAUUUUCACUGCAAAGUAGUCAGCCAUUUAGCAACCUCACAUCUAUAUUUAUGUAUGUAUGUAUAUGAGUGGGGCUGUAUUUGAGGUAUCCACUCAGAUGCAUUCAAAUCGGGCAUUGCUGCGACAGCUUUCGUGAAGGGAGCAAGCGGAUUGACACAGUUAAACUGCCGCACACGCACUCGCCCACUCACACAAAGAGAGGCAUGCGUACGCAGCUCUUUGCUAGCAUUGCAAAGCUUGGCAAAUAUAAGGACAUCAGAUAAGCAGCGCGCCGAGGAGCGCCGACGAGGAGUGAGGCGGAGUGGAGUGGGCGAUGUUUGCACGAGCAGUGAAUUUGUGCCACAACAAAGUGCAGUGCAUGCAAACUCAUUGGUGAUAUGUCAGCGCAAUAAAUUUAUAUAGAAAACGAGAAGACUAAUGGACGCUGAAGUAAAUGAAAAUUCGCAAAAUAAAAAAAAUAUGAAAAACAAAAUAUAAAAUCAAACAACAACAAGCACAUGCAAACAACCACGUGCUUGUUCCUGUUGUUGUUGUUGUUGCACACAUUAAGCUUCAAAUAAAAUGUAACGAAUGUAAACUCAUAAAAAAGGCACAAAUAAAAUGAAUGCACUAAAAGGAUAUGAAAUAAAUAUAAUGGCGCGCAGCGAUAGCGGCAGAGGUUCACGCGAGGCGCGGAAGCAGCGUUGAUAUCCAGCUCAUAGGUAUUCAUAGACGACGACAGGAAUUAUGUGCCCGCGAACAACUUAUUUAUAUGUUCUGGGCAUGUUCUUGUUGUUGCUUGGCGCAGCUGUGGCAGCUUGACGACAAGAAAUAUGGGCGAGCAAGUCGUGAUUGGACGCGACUGGCAUUCCUAAUUUCUAAGUGGCGCUCGAUAUAUGCAGCGAACAGGCAGCAAUUUACUCUCUGUUGUCACUGUUAUUGCUGUUCUUAUUAUUGUUGUUGACAGCAUUCAAUGCAAUGCGGAUAAGGACAAGGCCGGGCGCAUUGGCAAGCGCCGAACGUGAAGACGUUGCAUCACUGAAUGCACCGUUGCAUAUACACACACAAUGACACCCAUGCUGACAGAUAUCACAACAAAAGUGCCAAAUAAACAGACUAAUGAAAAAGCCGAAAGGACGACGGCUGAAGCAGCUGCAUUCAGCAGCAUUCCAAUGCGCCUAAGGAUGAUGCCAAGAAAAAAGUGGCAUUUCUUCACAUAUGAGUUGUCAGACUGCCGGCAUGAAUGCUCGAGUGAAUGUGUGUGCGCGUGAGUGAAUGAAUGGCUGACUGACGGGGUGACUUAUUUGACUGGCUGCUUGCUCGUACAAGGCACCGUUGCCAAGCAGCGGCAGCAGAAAUCAAGAUUGUUAGAUCCUCAGCGCCGGCUGCCUGCCAACAAGAAGGGUGCUCAUUGGGCUCUAUAUGGGUACAUAAAUAGGUAUAACGGCAUAAUUUAUGUGUUACGCGAGACACGUCGGAGACGUUGAUGAUGACGGCGCGUCGCCCGGAAACGCGCAGUGCUGACAUGGAGGCAAUGCCUCGCUGUAGCUGCAGCUCUGAUUGUCGCUCUCAGUUGGUUAGUAGUGGCAGCGGAAUGUAUGGCACUGUUGUGUUUAACAAUGGCAGCGCGAUUUUCUCAUGUAAUUGCAUACCUUCGUACAAGUAUACAUACAUACAUAUAUACAUACAUAUAUAUUUAUUUACAAACAUUUUAUUCACAAGACGUUUGUAAUUUAAGAACACGAAGCACGAAAUUGCAAGCGAUUUUAGCAUGAAAAGAAAUCUAUAUGCUAGUAUACAAUGACACAAUGCUGAGGUCAUUCAACUAAUAAACUCGCGUUUCACCCUGUGAUCAGCGUAAUAACAGUUUUCCAUUAUGAAUAUUGCUGUGUGACGGUUUUAAUAUUUUAAAUUGCGCUUUUAGAGUUGUAAACAAAUGUUGAUUUAUGAUUUAAAAAAAAAAAGAAUGCACACAAAAAAGAAAAUAUGUACAUUCCUAAUUGUACAGGGUGUGUCAGCAUUUAUUUGUAUAUAGUGUA